AUGCCUGCUGAUGGCCUGGCUGCUUGGACACGAGUAGUUAAUUGGAGAGAUGAAGCACUGGGUGGCUUUGACCCUGAAGAACAUCAUCUACUCUUUCUUCUCCUGCACAUAAAUCUCACUGGUGCACCUUGCCCUUUGCAGCAUGAUAAGACUGAGAGACCAGCACACACUCAGCAGAGGAGAUGAGGAGGGUG
rnacentral:lncRNA from 1 species